AAUCAAGUGCCUUAAGGGUGUUCGGUGGAUGCCUUGGCGCUGAGAGGCGAUGAAGGACGUGCUACGCUGCGAUAAGCC
rnacentral:rRNA from 4 species